rnacentral:rRNA from 1 species
GAUGAACGCUGGCGGCGUGCCUAAUACAUGCAAGUCGAACGCGAGAGGAGGGAGCUUGCUCCCUCUGAUCGAGUGGCGGACGGGUGAGUAACACGUAGGCAACCUGCCCAUCAGUCCGGGAUAACCGCGGGAAACCGUGGCUAAUACCGGAUGAUCCUCUCCACCGCGGGGUGGGGAGUUGAAAGACGGUUUCGGCUGUCGCUGAUGGAUGGGCCUGCGGCGCAUUAGCUGGUUGGCGGGGUAACGGCCCACCAAGGCAACGAUGCGUAGCCGACCUGAGAGGGUGAUCGGCCACACUGGGACUGAGACACGGCCCAGACUCCUACGGGAGGCAGCAGUAGGGAAUCUUCCGCAAUGGACGCAAGUCUGACGGAGCAACGCCGCGUGAGUGAAGAAGGGUUUCGGCUCGUAAAACUCUGUUGUUAAGGAAGAACGACAGGUAGAGUAACUGCUACCUGUGUGACGGUACUUAACCAGAAAGCCACGGCUAAUUACGUGCCAGCCGCCGCCGUAA